GCCAUUCAUCGUCAUUUCUUACGGACACCACCACCACCACCACAGCCUCCUCGUCCUUGCUCUCACCCCCAGCCACCUUUUCGCAUCGCCCUACCACCGUUGCCAGCGAGCAGGACCCACUACGCAACGUCAAGGCAAGCAAUCACCACAAGAGCAGCAGCGCGAGGCAUCCGUAGAAGCAGCCACACGCGCCCCGUCACGCCCGACCACGCCACCUCAGCUUCUUUCUGUUCUUGUUACGAGGGCAGACAGGAGACGACCAGGUGAACCAGGCGUCCAGGGAAACGGACAGGGAGGGGCUCCGCAUCUCUGUGGCAGGCAGGCAGGCACCCACGCACCCGCUCUGGCUUUCUGUCUGCCCCGACGUUUCCUCCCUCUGUCGGGUAUUCUUUUUGUCUUGGGUGGUGUCGCCGUUGUGCGGUUUUCCUUGUUUCGUGGACGUGUUAAGUGGAGUGAGCGUGCGUGCCAGCAGUGCAGGUUCUCUCGAUCGCCACCCACCCGCCCCCUCUCCCAAUACGUACGCAGAGGCAUCGGCACGGCAGCCAGGCACACACGGGUACACGUAGACGCAGGGAUGCAGUGUCGACUGAAAACUAACAACAGCUAGCAUUCACUCGCGCUUUCGUUUUUCAUUGUUUGGCGUCCUCGAAGUCCACAGCACAUCACGCCGCUCCUCCACGCCACCACAGCCACCCCUUCGCUACUCCUUCCUUACCUUCUCCCCCCUCCCACGCACACACACCACCACCACCACCACCGCGCCAAAGGCACCGGUGGCAGCGCUCAGUGCACGGUGGUCGUCCUCGUCCGUGUGUUCUUUGCGAGUCUUCGUUUUCCUUCAUUGUUUCGUUUCGUGGCUUGUUUGCGUCUGUGCGCGUCUCUCACCCUCCACCCUCGCUCUUCGCGCGCGAGCGGCCCCCUCUCUCGGUCCGUCGGUCGCCUCUCCGACUGCGUUGUUGUUGCGCGUCGAUCUUUCUUCUCUCGUCUCUUGUUCUUCGUUGCUCCGGCCAAGCAUGGAAAACCGGCCACACGAGGACUCCGAAUCGAAGGAAGCGGCAGCGGCGGCGCUCUUGUCGCGUGAAUCGUACGAAUCCGUGCAGAGGCUGUCGAAGUGCCCCAGCGACUUACCCAGCAGCGAGAACCGCUACGAGGUCAUCGCCGCCGCCAUGAAGGGUGACGACCACGGCAUGGGCGGCAGCACGAGCCGCGUAGUCAACUACGGUGGCCCGCACGGCAACGGAAGCCUGUUCAGCAUGAGCAAGGCGGAGUACGCGAAGCUGGAGAAGAGGGAGGCCAAGUACUUGCGCAUCGCCCAGAAGAUCCUGAGUGCUUGUGGCAUUACCAUUGGCGGCGAUAAGCCAUACGACAUGGUCGUGCACAACCCGAUGCUGUUCCGCCGCGUUAUCCGCAAGGGCAGUCUUGGCCUCGGUGAGGCCUACAUGGAGGGUUGGUGGGACACCCGCGACUUCUAUGCCCUGGACGACUUCUUCAAGCGCAUUCUGCAGAGUGGGAUCGAGUACUACUUUCCAAAUAACGCCAAAGACAUGCUCAACAUCAUCCGCGCCAAGGUGCACAACCCGCAAACCAAGUCGAAGAGUCGCAGGGUGGGUAUGCAGCACUACGACAUCGGCAACGAGUUCUUUCGAAACAUGCUGGGGCCGAGCAUGCAAUACAGCUGCGCGUAUUGGGAGAAGCACGUCGGCUCCGCCGAAGACCACAUGAUUAAGCCGGUGGAGACGCUGGACGAGGCGCAGGAGCUAAAGCUGCACAUGAUUGGCGAGAAGCUGCGCCUGCGUCCAGGGAUGGAGGUGCUUGAUUGUGGCUGUGGGUGGGGCGCUCUGGCGGCGUUUCUGAGCGAGAAGUACAGCGUGAAGGUGACAGGCAUCACGAUCUCCGAGGAGCAGCGCGAGGGUGCCGCGCGUUUGGUGAAGGACGACCCGAACGUGACUAUCCUCAACCGCGACUACCGCGACGCCACCUUCGACCGCAAGUUUGACCGCAUCGUGAGCGUCGGCAUGUUCGAGCACGUUGGCCCCAAGAACUACAAGACCUUUUUCAAGCACAUGCGCCGUCUACUGCGCGACGACGACCCGGAAGCGGUUCUGUUGCUGCACACCAUCGGCAGCAAGACGACCAUGAGCAGCGCCGAUCAGUGGUACCUCAAGUACAUUUUUCCAGGCGGCUGUCUGCCGAGCAUUUCGAGUAUUGGCAAGGGCAUCGAGGCGUAUUUUGUCAUGGAGGACCUGCAUAACUUCGGCUUCUUCUAUGGCUUGACGCUGCUUGCCUGGCGCUCGAACUUUCUCGUUCACUGGAACAAGUCGGCCGAGAGCACGAAGCCCGGCGCGGAUGCGUUUUUUCGCAUGUUCUACUACUACCUGAGCAGCAGCGCUGGCGCCUUCGAGGCACGUGACCUUCAGCUGUGGCAAGUGGUCCUGAGCCCGAAGGGGACACCUGGGUACGUCAGCGUGUACCGGCCGUAAAAGUGGUGCGAAAAAAGGGCGCGUCGAUGGGGAGCUGAGCGCUCGCGUCGGAGAGCCGCCCUGGAUGCGGCCAGGGCCCCUCCUUGCGAAGCUGCGUUCCCCUAUCCCCCCCCCGGUGUGUUCUUCUCACGUCAUCCGCUUUCAGCGGGUCAUGCCCGGGGCUUUGCAUCGGCGUGGCUGAGCCCCCACCCCCACCCCCACCCCAACUCUUCUGCCCCCUCCCCCUCCUCGGUGUUCUUGUUCGCCUUUCGUUUUUUUUUUUGAGGUGGUGGUGGUGGUGAUUGCUCUUGUCCUAUUGCUUCCUUCAAAUGCCUCCACGGGCGCAUCUCUUUCCACCCACCCACCCCCCGUGUGUGCAUGUGGGGGGGGGGGAGGGGGGUGCUUAUGCACUUAUUAUUAUUUUAGGUGUGCGUUGCCCCACGCCGGUGGGGGCCUGUGGCAGUGCCAGUGGUAGGGUGGCAAGCUCAUGUUGUUGAUGUCGGAAAAUGGGAAGAGGCAGGCUGAAUCCACAAUAGGAAUGGCGAAACCACAAAACGUCUUCCGAUCUGAUCUCUUAUUCCUUUUCGUUGUCCGUGUUAUGUGUAUUUGUGUUUGCGUGCAGUUGUAGAGAGCUGGAAUGCCUGCGUCGGCGUCUCCUUUUCUGGCCCCCCUCCAAACCUCUCCUCUCCGCCUCUUUCGUUUAUGUGACGAUGUGUCCGUUUUUCUCUGCCGGCGAACGCGCAAGGCAUUUUUUUUUACUGCGCACGUCCCCGCUCCCGCUUCGCCUGUCGUGCGUCUCCGGCAACCGAUUACGUCAUCCUUCCCCGCGUAUGUGGAUAGGUGGAUAGCGCCGCGUCGUUCUUUGCUUAUCCAUCGCGGCUUUUUUGUUGUUUUUGUUUCUUUCGUUGGUGUCGUCGUGGUUCAUGAGCGUUCUCUACGGGUGUUUGGUAUGGUUGAUGGCGUCUGCCCUCCCCUCUCACCCUCUGUGCUCUCACUGGCCCAUCGGCCACCCCCUUUCCUUCCCUCCUGCCUUGGUAUCAAUGACCACCCGUCUCGCCUAUCAUUGUCUCUCUGAGCUUCUCUGUGUGUGAGCGUGUGUCGGUGUGCGUCCGUGCUCGCCCGCGUCUUCACUCUUCGCCUUGGGUGGUCCCGACCCCCACCCGCACGUCUCUCCACCGCUUACCCUAUUGUGUGGCUCUCGCCGCCUUUCUUCUUUUCCUCCUCUCUCUCUUGUAUGGGGUCGUCGUGGGCUGCUUGUCGUUCUCAUGGUCAGGCGCUCGCCACCCCCACCCUCUC
rnacentral:misc_RNA from 1 species